AUUGAACGCUGGCGGAAUGCUUUACACAUGCAAGUCGAGCGGCAGCGCGGGGCAACCUGGCGGCGAGCGGCGAACGGGUGAGUAAUACAUCGGAACAUGUCCAUGUCGUGGGGGAUAGCCCGGCGAAAGCCGGAUUAAUACCGCAUACGCCCGAGAGGGGAAAGUGGGGGACCGCAAGGCCUCACGCGAUUGGGUUGGCCGAUGUCCGAUUAGCUAGUUGGCGGGGUAAGAGCCCACCAAGGCGAUGAUCGGUAGCUGGUCUGAGAGGAUGAUCAGCCACACUGGGACUGAGACACGGCCCAGACUCCUACGGGAGGCAGCAGUGGGGAAUUUUGGACAAUGGGGGCAACCCUGAUCCAGCCAUUCCGCGUGAGUGAAGAAGGCCUUCGGGUUGUAAAGCUCUUUUGUCCGGAACGAAACGGUUAGGUCGAAUAAGCCUGACUACUGACGGUACCGGAAGAAUAAGCACCGGCUAACUACGUGCCAGCCGCCGCAGUAAGAC
rnacentral:rRNA from 1 species